GUGCUCGCUUCGGCAGCACAUAUACUAAAACUGGAACGAUACAGAGAUUAGCAUGGCCCCUGCGCAAGGAUGUCACGCAAAUUCGUGAAGCGUUCCAUAUUUCU
rnacentral:snRNA from 1 species